rnacentral:rRNA from 1 species
GUGGGGAAUUUUGGACAAUGGGCGCAAGCCUGAUCCAGCAAUGCCGCGUGCAGGAAGAAGGCCUUCGGGUUGUAAACUGCUUUUGUACGGAACGAAACGGUCCUGGCUAAUAUCCGGGGCUAAUGACGGUACCGUAAGAAUAAGCACCGGCUAACUACGUGCCAGCAGCCGCGGUAAUACGUAGGGUGCGAGCGUUAAUCGGAAUUACUGGGCGUAAAGCGUGCGCAGGCGGUGCUGUAAGACAGGCGUGAAAUCCCCGGGCUCAACCUGGGAAUUGCGCUUGUGACUGCAGUGCUGGAGUGCGGCAGAGGGGGAUGGAAUUCCGCGUGUAGCAGUGAAAUGCGUAGAUAUGCGGAGGAACACCGAUGGCGAAGGCAAUCCCCUGGGCCUGCACUGACGCUCAUGCACGAAAGCGUGGGGAGCAAACAGGAUUAGAAACCCGUGUAGUCC